GUUGACAAUUGUAAGAGAAAGUAAAUUUUCAUCAUUUCCUGAACUAUUAAUAUUCCAUAUUUGGUCAAGACUUUGGCCAAAAUAAAAUUCUUAGUAACAAUACAACAGGAAAUAAAAAUCAGCAAAUCUAAUUAAAAUAUAAUUAUUUUUUUAGUGAAAAAAACACAAAAACAAAUUUAAAAACUAUUUCAAUACAUGCAAUUAAUAAAUAUAUAUAUACAUUGUUGUGUCUAUAAGAACGGUUGAUUAAAUGUUCUUAUUUUUAAAAGCUUCAUAUAUACAAAAGUCAACAUGGUCAAUGCUGAAAUAGCAUGAAAAUUGGUAUGAAAAUGUCUGAGAAUGCCCGCGCAUAAAGCACUAUUUGAAACGGCUCAAACAAAAGCAUCCCAUUCAUUAUCAUCACCAUAUAUUACUAAUAAAAAUUGUUUUGAUAAAAGGUCAACGCUGAAAUAGAU
rnacentral:lncRNA from 1 species